rnacentral:rRNA from 1 species
GACGAACGCUGGCGGCGUGCUUAACACAUGCCAGUCGAACGAAGUGGCGAACGGGUGAGUAAUACGUGGGUAACCUGCCCUCCUUUUUGGGAUAAGCCUUGGAAACGGGGUCUAAUACCGAAUAAAGGGGGAUGGGCUCGCGGCCUCUCAGCUCGUGGGUGGGGUGAUGGGCUACCAAGGCGGUGACGGGUGGCCGGCCUGGGGGGGUGACCGGCCACAUUGGGACUGCGAUCAGGCCCAGCCUCCGACGGGGGGCAGCAGUGGUGGAUAUUGCACAAUGGGCGAAAGCCUGAUGCAGCCACGCCGCUUGGGGGAUGACGGCUUUCGGGUUGUACACCGCUUUCAGCCAUGACGCUGUGGUGGCAGAAGAAGCACCGGCUAACUACGUGCCCGCAGCCGCGGUAAUUC